CUUUAAUACUAUCUCAAACUAAAGGAUAUAGAAGGUUUUCCCUUUCUCUUGCCCUGAAACCUUCUGUAUCCUUUAUUUUGAGAUAGUAUUAGAA
rnacentral:pre_miRNA from 1 species